ACGCUCGACACCUACUGGAGGCAGCAGUGGGGAAUAUUGCACAAUGGGGGAAACCCUGAUGCAGCGACGCCGCGUGAAGGAAGAAGUAUCUCGGUAUGUAAACUUCUAUCAGCAGGGAAGAAAGUGACGGUACCUGACUAAGAAGCCCCGGCUAACUACGUGCCCGCAGCCGCGGUAAUCUGAGCGGGCUGGCAAGGC
rnacentral:rRNA from 1 species